GCGGCAGUAACUCAAUGGUAGAGUCUCUGAUUUCCAAUCAGAAUGUUGUGGGUUCGAAUCCCAUCUGCCGCUCCA
rnacentral:tRNA from 1 species